rnacentral:rRNA from 1 species
GAGGAAUAUUGGUCAAUGGGCGCAAGCCUGAACCAGCGACGCCGCGUGGGCGAUGAAGGCUUUCGGGUCGUAAAGCCCUUUUCUGCGUGACGAGCAAGGACGGUAGCGCAGGAAGAAGCGUCGGCUAACUACGUGCCAGCAGCCGCGGUAAAACGUAGGACGCAGCGUUAUCCGGAGUUACUGGGCGUAAAGGGCGUGUAGGCGGCGCUUCAAGUUCGUCGUGAAAGCCUCCGGCUCAACCGGGGAGGGUCGAGGGAGACUGAAGCGCUGGAGGACGGUAGAGGGACAGGGAAUUCCGGGUGUAGUGGUGAAAUGCGUAGAGAUCCGGAGGAACACCAGUGGCGAAGGCGCUGUCCUGGGCCGUUGCUGACGCUGAGACGCGACAGCAUGGGGAGCGAAC